rnacentral:rRNA from 1 species
AUUGAACGCUGGCGGCAUGCCUUACACAUGCAAGUCGAACGGUAACAGGUCUUCGGAUGCUGACGAGUGGCGAACGGGUGAGUAAUGCAUCGGAACGUGCCCAGCAGUGGGGGAUAGCCCGGCGAAAGCCGGAUUAAUACCGCAUACGACCUGAGGGUGAAAGGGGGGGAUCGCAAGAUCUCUCGCUAUUGGAGCGGCCGAUGUCAGAUUAGCUAGUUGUUGGGGUAAAGGCCUACCAAGGCAACGAUCUGUAGUUGGUCUGAGAGGAUGACCGGCCAAACUGGGACUGGAACACGGACCAGACUACUACGGGAGGCAGCAGUGGGGAAUUUUGGACAAUGGGCGCAAGCCUGAUCCAACAAUGCCGCGUGCAGGAAGAAGGCCUUCGGGUUGUAAACUGCAUUUGUCAGGGAAGAAAUCUUCUGGGUUAAUACCUCGGGAGGAUGACGGUACCUGAAGAAUAAGCACCGGCUAACUACGUGCCAGCCGCCGCAGUAAUAC